GAUGUGAUUGUUUACUUUGUGUGGCCUUUCUAGCCAUGGUCUUAUAACAUCCACCCUGGUGCUUGGGCAGGACUGUGUGAUAGGGUAAUUGUGGCUCACCAAGGGGAUUGUUUAGUUUUCCCUUCAAAGAGAACCAGUUCCAGAGCAAAGAGGAGGAUUCAACUCCCAUCAAGGAAGAACAGCCAAGAGCCGAGUGUAUAUUAUGGACCUGAGAUCCCUGCACUGAGAAGCUCCUAGAAGCAGGAGACUGAGAUAGAGAGAGGAAGCUGUAACCCUGAAGAUGCUUAAAUACAGACCAGAAGAGGAGUUUGGGGCUUGACACCUGACAUCUUAACACCAGUUCCUGUUUCUUGAGGAAGGAAGAGGUAAAAUAAAUCAGCGUUUACUGUUUCCUUCUCCAUCCCCGGAAGUCCUGAUGAAGACCCUCUCAGAGAACCAGUUCCAGAGCAAAGAGGAGGAUUCAACUCCCAUCAAGGAAGAACAGCCAGGAGCUGAGCAUAUAUUAUGGACCUGAGAUCCCUGCACUGAGAAGCUCCUAGAAGCAGGAGACUGAGAUAGAGAGAGGAAGCUGGAAUCCUGAAGACGGUAAGAUGCCAUGGCAGGAGAGACCAAGCAACAGGGACCCAGCUAUAGGAGAUGAUGGCCCAGGGAGAAGGAAAGCUGAGUGCCUUUGGAGAGAGGCCCAAGGCCAGGCAGAGGCACACCUAUGAGCACAGGAGGGAAGAGGCUGUCCUGAUAGAAGAACUGUAUUCUGAGUGUCUUUGAGCCUGAGUUGUAACUGUUACUUCCCUAAUAAACCCCAUAAUCAUGAAUAUGGACUGUGAGCUCUGUGUGGCCAUUGCAAAGAAUUAUUGAACCCAGCAGAGAAGUAGGGAGUGCUGUGUGAGGAACAGUUGGUGUCAAACUUAGUGAAGAUGGUGGAGAGAGGAUAGUUUUUUCACCAAUGCCUUCAAUGCAGCUUCAAUUUCUUCCUUUUAUACCAUCAGUUCUUGAUCUUAUGCUACCUCUUGAAAUGGUUGAAAAUUAUCCAGUUCUACUGCAGUACUAUAUUAAUAUCAGACAAAUUAUACUUCAGAAAAAGGAGUAUUAUUGGGAAUAAGUAGGGACAUAACAUAAUAAAGGUUCAAUUCUCCAAAAAGAUACAACAAUCCUAAAUGUGUACAUAUUUAACAACAGGGCUCCAAAAUACAAAAACUAAUAAAUCUGAAAGGGGAAAUGGACAAAUAUGCAUUUGUAAUUGGUAUCAGUACUUUUCUAUGAAUAAUUACUAGAGCCCUGCUAGUUGAAGUCCAAGGCGUCUGUAUGAACCACUCAUGGAUGUCUAUGUGUCUGUGUAUGUAUGUAUGUGUGUAUGUGUGUAUGUAUGUAUAUAGUAUAAAGACAAGUAAUAAAGAAAUAAACAUAGAGUCCUUGGGAGGUGCAAACGGUUAAUGCAUUCAGCUGCGAACCAAAAUGUUGGAGGUUUAAGUCCACCCAGAGACACUUCGGAAGAAAGGUUUGGCGAUCUACUUUUGAAAAAUUAGCCAUUGAACUGACACACUUGUGUGUCAGUACUACUCUGACACACAUGGAGGGAGGGGUCACCAUGAGUCAGAUCAGCUUGAUAGCAAUUGAAUGAUUUUUUUAUUCAUUCUGCCAGUGUUUGUCUUUUAAUUGGUAUCUUAGGCUGGGUUCUUUAGAGAAGCAAAACC